GGGAAGGUAGCUCAGUGGUAGAGCACUUGCCUUGCAUGCAUAAAGCCCUGGGUUCAAUUCCUCAGCACCA
rnacentral:tRNA from 1 species